CUUACUCCCGCCUUGUUCUUCAGUUGAUUGACUUGAGUGUCAGAGUGGCUACCGUAAACGCCAACCACCUCACUUUCUCCUUCUUGUAGGUCUAGUCAAUCACAGCACAGCUCCGAUUCGGCCAUGUCAUAAUUUUAGUUCUAGCAACAUCAUUGGUUCUGUUGCCGAGAAACCUAUUGAAUUUUCUCUGUUCAUUUGAAUUAAAACUGGUCUCUUAUCCCUUUUCUCUUAAAAAAAAAUCUCACCUUUUUCUCUUAAAAAAAAUCUCACCUUUCUCUCCGGAAUUUCACAGGCUACUGCUAAAGGUGUUACCAAUGAGGACGCCAUCAUUUCUUCCAUCCCUGGCAGUGGACAAACGCGCCCUCAAUGGUCAAUGAAGUAGAUCUCAAUAAUCUGAGCAUUGAGCAUGUCAGAAGGUUGCAGGUUGCUUUCGAGCAAUGCAAAACUCGGGAGGAGGCGUCGCUUAUGGCUCCCGAAGGAAGGGAGGACGUCUCUGUUGAU
rnacentral:lncRNA from 1 species